CCUACGGGAGGCAGCAGUGAGGAAUAUUGGGCAAUGGGCGCAAGCCUGACCCAGCAACGCCGCGUGGAGGAAUGAAGGCCUUCGGGUUGUAAACUCCUUUUGCAGGGGAAGAGGAAGGACGGUACCCUGCGAAUAAGUCACGGCUAACUACGUGCCAGCAGCCGCGGUAAUACGUAGGUGACGAGCGUUAUCCGGAAUUACUGGGCGUAAAGCGCACGCAGGCGGCUGAAUAAGUCUGACGUGAAAUCUCUCGGCUUAACCGGGAGGGGUCGUUGGAGACUGUUCGGCUUGAGGCGAUGAGAGGGGUGUAGAAUUCCCGGUGUAGUGGUGGAAUGCGUAGAUAUCGGGAGGAAUACCAGUGGCGAAAGCGGCACCCUGGCAUUAGCCUGACGCUCAUGUGCGAAAGCGUGGGUAGCAAACGGGAUUAGAUACCCCGGUAGUCCACGCUGUAAACGAUGAAUACUAGGUGUGGGUGGAGUGAAUCUAUCCGUGCCGAAGCAAACGCGCUAAGUAUUCCGCCUGGGGAGGUACGGCCGCGAGACGAAACUACAAGAAGUAGACGG
rnacentral:rRNA from 1 species